GGAAUAUUGGUCAAUGGGGGCAACCCUGAACCAGCAACGCCGCGUGGAGGAUGAAGGGUUUCGGCUCGUAAACUCCUUUGAGGUGGGAAGAGCAAGGCCGGUACCACCUGAAUAAGUCUCGGCUACCUACGUGCCCGCAGCCGCGGUAAACCGUAGGAGACGAGCGUUAUCCGGAUUUACUGGGCGUAAAGCGCGUGCAGGCGGUUUAUUAAGUCACUUGUGAAAGCGCCCGGCUCAACUAGGCGAGGCCGUGUGAGACUGAUAGACUUGAGAGAGGUAGAGGCGAAUGGAAUUCCGGGUGGAGUGGUGAAAUGCGUAGAGAUCCGGAGGAACACCAGUGGCGAAGGCGAUUCGCUGGGCCUUCUCUGACGCUCAGACGCGACAGCAUGGGGAGCGAAC
rnacentral:rRNA from 1 species